GGGCAGCAUGGUCUUAGCUUGCUAAGGCCGAUGGCGACCGGCGCACGGGUGAGUAACACGUAUCCAACCUGCCGUCUACUCUUGGACAGCCUUCUGAAAGGAAGAUUAAUACAAGAUGGCAUCAUGAGUCCGCAUGUUCACAUGAUUAAAGGUAUUCCGGUAGACGAUGGGGAUGCGUUCCAUUAGAUAGUAGGCGGGGUAACGGCCCACCUAGUCUUCGAUGGAUAGGGGUUCUGAGAGGAAGGUCCCCCACAUUGGAGCUGAGACACGGUCCAAACUCCUACGGGAGGCAGCAGUGAGGAAUAUUGGUCAAUGGGCGAGAGCCUGAACCAGCCAAGUAGCGUGAAGGAUGACUGCCCUAUGGGUUGUAAACUUCUUUUAUAAAGGAAUAAAGUCGGGUAUGUAUACCCGUUUGCAUGUACUUUAUGAAUAAGGAUCGGCUAACUCCGUGCCAGCAGCCGCGGUAAUACGGAGGAUCCGAGCGUUAUCCGGAUUUAUUGGGUUUAAAGGGAGCGUAGAUGGAUGUUUAAGUCAGUUGUGAAAGUUUGCGGCUCAACCGUAAAAUUGCAGUUGAUACUGGAUAUCUUGAGUGCAGUUGAGGCAGGCGGAAUUCGUGGUGUAGCGGUGAAAUGCUUAGAUAUCACGAAGAACUCCGAUUGCGAAGGCAGCCUGCUAAGCUGCAAC
rnacentral:rRNA from 1 species